rnacentral:misc_RNA from 1 species
GUAUAUAUUCGCGCUGUUACACGCCAUAAACUUCGUCCCUUCUAUAACUUUAUAAGUGUGUGUGUGUAUAAAAUUCAUAGCUAGGGCUUUCGGCGUCGUUUCCAACGCCGUAAUCAUCCCAAGCUACAUGUAGUGCACAGGUGUAAGAGGUGGAUGCCUGAUCAAGGCGUGCACAUGCCCCUGAGAGGCCAGCUACAGCCCUUCUCCGACAUUCAUUUCAUUAAUGAUCCUUCCGCAGGUUCACCUACGGAAA